UUUGUUUCACUCCAAUCAUCUCCAAAAGCUGCAGCCUCCCCACAGAAAAUUGUUUCUGGUCCAGCUUUUCUCCUACACCAACAGAGGCAGCAACUCUGUCCCCCAGGUCUCUGGCACGAGGCUAUGCUGUCCUUUCAAAGGCCCAGAUUUGGACGUGGGCAAUGCAGGAGCUGAAGCUGCAGGAACUCGCCGCAUCUGCAAGGAGCCCCGAGAGCUCUCCGAAGUGGUUUGAGCACAGGCCUGUCAAAGUUUAAAAAAAAAAAAAAAAAAAAAAAAAAGUCAAUUACACUGACAUUUUCCAUCAAAAAGAAAAAUUAAGUGGAAAAUUCCUGCCUAGAGUGACUCUUCGCCCUCAGCCUGGGAAUGCAGGCGGGAAGCUUUAUCCUGCUCAAGAAGCACCAAGAGGCUCAACUGAGCUUCCUUCGUUCCUUUUGCUUGAAACACCCGAGUUUAUUUUCCUCUAUGGCCUGGUUAAUCCAUUAGCACACCCGCAGAGCAUCCGUGCGCGCUCCCGAGGUCAAAACCAGUGCGGGUGAGGGGAAAACAAACAGCAAAUCUCAGCCCGAGCCCACAGAUCACGCUCACAAAUGAUGCUUCUGCAACCCGCACCACCUUUAUUUUCAACUUUCCCCCUGCAGGCGAGGGGGGAUGAAUCUUCCCCACCGACAGGCGUUGUGUGCCCUUGCCGGGUGUCAGACCUCAAUCGUCUUGGUGGCCUCCUCUGUCUUCCUCUGCAAACUCGGUGACAGCCCCGAAACCGAUGGCUGAGGGGAGCAAACCACAACGCUCACCUGCUUCAUCCCCAAAGGCAAAUCCCUGAACAGGUAGAAGGGGGAGCCGGCACUGUAACCGGUUUGCAACCUUUACUGAGGUGGAAAUCAUCAGUUCAGCCGCACCACCCUGCUUCCCAGAGACUUCUCUCUCCGCAGAUUAUUUUAAACUCAUCUAACUGGGGGGAGCAAGGGUACGGCGUUAAGAUUAUUAAGAUUAAAGCAGAAUAUUCAAGGGGGGCUGGGGGAUGUGGGUGAAGCAGUUACGGGUCGCUCGGGCUGAUCUUAACAGCCUGCCGGCUUCAGAACCAACUCAAAGGCAAAAAAUUAAGGAAACGGAUAAAUUAAAAAAAAUGAUAGAGCUCAGAAUGGAUUUCACACAGAUGGAUUCUGCCAGGCAGGCCUGGUAAAUAUAUUUUUUCCGGGAGAUAACGGCUUUUUUUAAACAAAAGCCAAUCUUUGUCUUUUGUGGGAGAGCUUGACCAUCUGGACUUCAGAAAAACAUUUGAUACCGCGCCACAUGGGCGAGUGAUUUGUUAAACUGUAGGAGGGGAACAUUACAAUAAGAAUUAUGAAUCAAAGAAAAGCUCUGCGUAAAGAAAAUAAGAUUACAAUAGAUAAUACCAAAAAAGGAGGCAGUCUGGAGGGCUUUUGCUGAGCGGGCCGUUCAGUGACUGCUCGCGUUCAACGCUUCCGCAAUGACCGGGAGCCAACGCUCAUCAAAUUCGCUGCUCGGGAGGCAAAACAACCCAAAAUAACGAGUGCUGGUGGACUUCAGAAGGAAGUGACGGCUGUGAGGACCAGACCUGAUGACCCUCAGUGGUGCAGAAAUCAAAAACCAGGCUUAAAUGAGUGGUGGCACCGGCUUCCCGUGCUGGAUGGAAAGUUGGAGAUGAGGGAUGAGGAGAGCCACCUGCACAUCUCAGCUGUCCGGCAACAGACAGGGGGGCACUGACACAACGCAAGUAUAAAAAGGCAUCUGCAGCUCCAAAUAAUUCCAGAACUAUUCCCCUCUAAUGAAGAGCAUCUCAGGGAGAUCAUAUCCUGCCUACUUACUGCCCGUCGUCCACAAGUGAGGGUCCAAAUCAGCAUUCCUGGGAAAAGGAAGAGCAAGGUUUUCCUUCUCACUCUCUCUAUGAAGACUUUUCACAAGAAUAGAUGUCAAUAGCUGUCUGAAAACCCAAAACACCAAGAAAGACGAGAGGUCACGCAACGCAGCAGCUCCAAACUUCGCCAGCCCUCUCCAAAUGCAAUAGGGAACUCAACCCCCUGGUUUCUCCUUCCUCGGGCAGGUCUAUGUGCAAGGUCUUCAGAAAAAGCAGCAGGAAUGAAGCUGAGGGAUUUUAGCAGAAAUUAAACAGAAUUCACCCCGGUGAAUUUUCAAGACAAGAUUCUUUGUGUAAACAUUAUUAAGCUUCCCUACGGAAUGUAAUUAGAAGUUCUGCCCCUUUUAUCUAAAAUUUGCACAAAAAAAUCCAUCACUGUAUUAAGUGAUAAAAAGGACUUUCCUUUUUUUUUCUUUUUUCUUCUUAAUAAAGGGUGUUUUUAAAGCCUUCCUUAAGCAGGUGAACGUUUCAUUAGGAAUCCUGGGCUUGUUCUAAGUAAAUUUGGAUCCCUCCUGAGUAAAUCGGGAGGCAGAUUCAGGUUUUGCAUCAAAAUACAUGACAAUCAGCCUCAAAAUUCAGGAGCUUAUUCGAGAGGCGAGAAGACGGGAGCAAAAGCUGCCUCUAAAAGGAGAAUUACUCAGGUCUACCCAGUAAGUUCUCUGUUUAUGGGCAAAACCCACUCACUGUGAGUAAGGACUGUCAGAAAUUGAGACAAAAUGGUUUUUAAUCAGAGAAUGUCAACUUGCCAAACACAAGAUUUCGCAGGGAGGAGGAAGAAAGGCCACUUCAAAUAGCAAAUUUAUUUACCCGGGCCACUGAUUUUUCAGUCAUCGUGGAGUUGUCAGCUGUUAAAAAAAAAUAAUAAUUUUUAAAAUGUGGAUAAAAAAAAGGAGAGAAAGAGAGAAAGAAAAAAGCAAAGAGUCUCACAAAGCAGAAAUACCGUGGUAUGUUGGGCACUGGCCAGGGAUGCAGAUGGCUCAGAUUCAAGCCCUUCAAAGCAGGGAUUUGUACCUCUCUGCCUGCAACAUUCCCAGUGAGGCCCCGGCCACAACCCAGCCCCAGAGUUUCACACUCGUCUUAUGGUUUAAUAAAAAUAAUAAUAAUAAUAAACCAAUCUUGGUUUCAUCUUAAUGUCGAAAACGAACUUCUUUCAAAAUCUCAGGGAGGGUUAUGGGAUCGGAAAGCACCAGGUCCCUUCCCUCCCUGGUUCUGAUUACAGCUAAUUAC